AAUAUCAUGCUAGUUUGUUUUGAUAUUAUUAUUAUACUGGCUGCUGUAAAAUACGGGAAGAUGAAGUGUGUUAGUAUAUUCCUUGUAGUCGCGUGUUUAGCGGUGCUAGUUUAUGAAUUCGAAGCAUCUUGUGGCUUUAUGGCAAAGAAUCCCCCGGGUGACGAGGAACCAUGCAUAACACCUGCGGGUAAUCUAAGUGUUGGAGAAUCUGUGAAAAACUACACUGAAUGUCAAAGAUAUACUUGUGGAGCGUCUUAUAUUUCUUAUUGUGGAAUUGGUUAUAAUGCUGGUACGAUGUCUGUUCACGGAUGUGUCCAACAAAAUUUGGACGAUUGUUGUUACCAGUUUGUAAAUGCUUCAAACUCAUCGGAAAUCUGCAUGGAGAAAUUAUGUCCAUAGUAACUUUGCCAAUAAAAUAAGUAUAAUCUUAUAAUAA